rnacentral:rRNA from 1 species
UACGGAGGAUGCGAGCGUUAUCCGGAUUUAUUGGGUUUAAAGGGUGCGUAGGUGGAUUGGUAAGUCAGUGGUGAAAGUUUGCAGCUUAACUGUAAAAGUGCCUUCGAAACUGGUUUCCUUGAGUGUAGAUGAAGUAGGCGGAAUUUGUGGUGUAGCGGUGAAAUGCAUAGAUAUCACGAGGAACUCCGAUUGCGCAGGCAGCUUACUAAACUACUACUGACGCUCAGGCACGAAGGCGUGGGGAUCAAACAGGAUUAGAUACCCCUGUA